UGUCUCAGUUCGGAUUGGAGUCUGCAACCCGACUCCAUGAAGCUGGAUUCGCUAGUAAUCGCGCAUCAGCCACGGCGCGGUGAAUACGUUCCCGGGCCUUGUACACACCGCCCGUCAAGCCAUGGGAGCCGGGGGUGCCUGAAGGCCGUGACCGCGAGGAGCGGCCUAGGGUAAAACUGGUGACUGGGGCUAAGUCGUAACAAGGUAAC
rnacentral:rRNA from 1 species